GGAGAGGUAUCGAAGUGGUCAUAACGGGGCUGACUCGAAAUCAGUUUGCGGGUAACCGCACGAGGGUUCGAAUCCCUCUCUCUCCGCCA
rnacentral:tRNA from 1 species